rnacentral:misc_RNA from 1 species
AAGACUAUAGACCUGCGGAGUACCUGCGGAGGGAUCAUUACCGAGUGUUGAUUGCUAUGCAAUCGCCUCCCACCCUUGAUUAUUUUAUCCUGUUGCUUCGGCGAGACGUCUUUUUGAAAAAAAAGCCGUCGACUAGUUGGAUACAAUUUCACUGAAGUUUGUAUCUUGUGGGCGUGAGCUCGCCGAAGGUUUUCAAACUCUGAUAAUUUGAUGUCUGAAAAUUCAAAAAAAUUGAUUAAA